rnacentral:lncRNA from 1 species
NNNNNNNNNNNNNNCGUCUCCGGGAUGGACUGGCCCCACACCCCUCCCUCCUGCCCUCACCCACCCUUGGUCUCUACAGGAGCGAGUUUCAUCCCAGGCUGAGCCCAGUCCCCGGGGCCAGCACCUGUCUGCGGAGAACCUCCAGUCCUCAGUCCUGGUAAGUAACUGGAUCCCAGAGCAGCUGCAGCCAGUGGCUGUGCAGGUCUGCCCUUCUGCCUGGCAGCUCUUUUCCUAGAGCAGUGAUUCAUGCUUAACAGGUGCUCCAGGGAGAGCAUAAAAGUGACCACCCCAAGGAGAAACGCAGAGGGGCCAAACUUUGAUGGCUCCCAUUGAGAAGUUUCAUGAGAUAAUCCAAGGAGAGAGAUGAGUACAGUGCCUGCCAGUAACAGUUACUCCGUGGCUUCUAGGUCCCUCCCGUAACAGUUACUCUGUGGCUUCUAGGUCCCUCCAGUAAGUUACUCCGUGGCUUCUAGGUCCCUCCCGUAACAGUUACUCAGUGGCUUCUAGGACCCUCUCUCGGAAACCAGACUGACAUUCCUGAGGCUGCAGGGCAGGUAAGCCUUGGCCCAGAGGGAGGCAGAGAACAGGCAUAUGGUGCAGAACAGGCAUAGUGCAGAGGUGGACGCACAUUUUCCAGAUUGGUUCAAAUUUUUCAGGGCAUCCAUUUUGUGCUGUGGCCCCACCCCAGCCAGGUAAAUAGGGACAAGUUCCACCUGCCAUAGGACACCCCCCGCCCCCUCUCCAGACACCUGCCUCUUCUCUUCUGCAGCUGACAGCAGGGCUUCUCCUGCUGGGUCCGCAGGCCUCCAUCAGGCCCUGGCUUUGGGGGCUCACCCCAGCCCAUCUCAUGCAGCACUGUUGGUGCAAAGGUGUCCCUGCUCCAGGGCUGGGCUCCUGUAGACCAGCAGAUGCUG